rnacentral:rRNA from 1 species
CAGUAGCCGCGGUAACACGAAGGGUGCAAGCGUUAAUCGGAAUUACUGGGCGUAAAGCGUGCGUAGGCGGUGAGUUAAGUCUGCUGUGAAAUCCCCGGGCUCAACCUGGGAAUGGCAGUGGAUACUGGCUCGCUAGAGUGUGUCAGAGGAUGGUGGAAUUCCCGGUGUAGCGGUGAAACGCGUAGAGAUCGGGAGGAACAUCAGUGGCGAAGGCGGCCAUCUGGGACAACACUGACGCUCAUGCACGAAAGCGUGGGGAGCAAACAGGAUUAGAUACCCCAGUAGUCCCUGUCUCUUAUAC